CUGCACUUCACGAUUUCAACUAGGCUCCUCUCCUGCUCUCUGCAUGUGACGCGAGAUGUCACAUGCAGGAACCAGGAAGUUUCACACACAGCGCAACUUCACAAUCCAGUGCAGUGAGUGCACACAGGCAAAGACAAACUGCAGAUAGAGCCAGAGAGCAGCUCGUUCAAGAGGCAGAGCAGGCACCCGGCAGCUGUCACACUCAAAGCAACGUGCUGACAGUCUGCCGGGGAAUGGAUUUAAAAAUGCGUUCUGUUAAAGAGCUCUGCGGGCGGGAGGGGUCGGUCAGCAGUGGUUGGAAUGUCGACACCAGAAACCGAACAUGGAUCAAAAAGCCGGUGCCGGAAUCUCGAUUGCUGCCAUCCUAAAUAGUCCGCCAUUACCACCUUCUCUGGCAGGGAAUUCCACAUCCUGAUUGCCCUAACAGUGAAGAACCCUUUCCUCCGUUGCGUACGGAACUUUCUCUCCUCCAGUCGCAGCGAGUGCCCACGUGUC